AUUGAACGCUGGCGGCAGGCCUAACACAUGCAAGUCGAAUGGUAACAGGAAACAGCUUGCUGUUUCGCUGACGAGUGGCGGACGGGUGAGUAAUGUCUGGGAAACUGCCUGAUGGAGGGGGAUAACUACUGGAAACGGUAGCUAAUACCGCAUAACGUCGCAAGACCAAAGAGGGGGACCUUCGGGCCUCUUGCCAUCAGAUGUGCCCAGAUGGGAUUAGCUAGUAGGUGGGGCAACGGCUCACCUAGGCGACGAUCCCUAGCUGGUCUGAGAGGAUGACCAGCCACACUGGAACUGAGACACGGUCCAGACUCCUACGGGAGGCAGCAGUGGGGAAUAUUGCACAAUGGGCGAAAGCCUGAUGCAGCCAUGCCGCGUGUAUGAAGAAGGCCUUCGGGUUGUAAAGUACUUUCAGCGGGGAGGAAGGGAGUAAAGUUAAUACCUUUGCUCAUUGACGUUACCCGCAGAAGAAGCACCGGCUAACUCCGUG
rnacentral:rRNA from 1 species